rnacentral:rRNA from 1 species
CCUACGGGUGGCAGCAGUGGGGAAUAUUGGGCAAUGGAGGCAACUCUGACCCAGCAAUGCCGCGUGAGUGAUGAAGGUAAUUUUAUUGUAAAGCUCUUUUCUUGGAACGAAUAAAUGACGUACCCAAAGGAAUAAGCCCCGGCUAACUACGUGCCAACAGCCGAGGUAAUACGUAGGGGGCAAGCCUUGUUCGGAAUGACUGGGGGUAAAGGGUUUGUAGGGGGUCUGAUAAGUUGGAUGUGUAAUACCCAGGGCUUAACUCGGGUGCUGCAUCGAAAACUGUUAGACUUGUGUACUGGAGAGGAAAGUGGAAUUCCUAGUGUAGCGGUGGAAUGCGUAGAUAUUAGGAGGAACAUCAGUGGCGAAGGCGACUAUCUGGACAGCAACUGACGCUGAGGCACGAAAGCGUGGGGAGCAAACAGGAUUAGAUACCCCAGUAGUC